UCUCGAACGUCACCCACCGCCUUUGGAUCGGCAAUUUCCCUAUAAAUUCACUUCCACGUUUGCUCAAUUCAUUCAUACAAUCUCUAAAUUCCCCUUUAAGCCUCUCUCAGAAGCGUAUAAGUCGUAGCACUCUGCUUCGUCAGUUGUUUUAUUCAUACAAAUUUCGUUUCACGCGUGAAUCCCUGUGUUCUUAAAAUUGGUAUUUUGCUGGGCAUCACAUGAACACUGGGAUAAGGAUUAGAUGCAAACAUUGCUUAGGUGAACAGAAAUGGACAUCAGUUUGUAUUUGAAUUUUGAACAGCUGGUGUUGGCAUGAGAACUGCGGAGUCAUAGGCCCUUGCCCCUUGAUGUUCUGUAAUCUCCAUCUAUUGUCGACCAUUUCAUGAGAUUUCCUGUUCUGCUUUGCUAUUUUUCAAUUCUAUGAUUUUAUGUGCUUGGAGGAACAGGGCCCCGCUUCUCGAGUUCAUUGCUGUAAUAAUGCACUACAUGAACAGGGAAUGAGCCACAGCCAUGGAGUGGAGUAGUGGUCUGCUAGAUGCUGGUGUCACAAAACCUGAGUGAUGCUUCUUCUUUAUCUGCAUCCUCACAUUCUGGUUCCAGGAAUGCAGUGUUAUAGUAGUACCUAUUAUUUCGUUAAGUAUGGUCGGUUUCAUGUUUGACUCACCCCAUUGUUAUUUUGAUGAUGGAAGCAGAAUCUCACCUCAAAUAUUUACUCAAGGCCAAACAAAAAGGCUAGCUAGAACUAAUACUAAAACAGAGAGAAUGAAGGGAUAUAUCUAUCAGGCUAACUUACCUGUAACUCAGCUGUGGUGGAAAUUUUGAGAAAUAAAGAUGCUGAUUAUCUUGUA